rnacentral:rRNA from 1 species
GGACGAACGCUGGCGGCGUGCUUAACACAUGCAAGUCGAACGCUGAAGCUCAGCUUUUGUUGGGUGGAUGAGUGGCGAACGGGUGAGUAACACGUGAGUAACCUGCCUCCUUCUUUGGGAUAACGCCCGGAAACGGGUGCUAAUACUGGAUAUUCACUGGUCUUCGCAUGGGGGUUGGUGGAAAGGGUUUUUCUGGUGGGGGAUGGGCUCGCGGCCUAUCAGCUUGUUGGUGGGGUGAUGGCCUACCAAGGCUUUGACGGGUAGCCGGCCUGAGAGGGUGACCGGUCACAUUGGGACUGAGAUACGGCCCAGACUCCUACGGGAGGCAGCAGUGGGGAAUAUUGCACAAUGGGCGCAAGCCUGAUGCAGCGACGCCGCGUGAGGGAUGGAGGCCUUCGGGUUGUGAACCUCUUUCGCUCAUGGUCAAGCCGCAACAAUGGUUGUGGUGAGGGUAGUGGGUAAAGAAGCGCCGGCUAACUACGUG